UACGGAGGAUGCAAGCGUUAUCCGGAAUGAUUGGGCGUAAAGCGUCCGCAGGUGGCUAUGUAAGUCUGCUGUUAAAGAGUGAGGCUCAACCUCAUAAGAGCAGUGGAAACUACAUGGCUAGAGUGCGUUCGGGGCAGAGGGAAUUUCUGGUGUAGCGGUGAAAUGCGUAGAGAUCAGGAAGAACACCGGUGGCGAAAGCGCUCUGCUAGGCCGCAACUGACACUGAGGGACGAAAGCUAGGGGAGCGAAUGGG
rnacentral:rRNA from 1 species